rnacentral:rRNA from 1 species
GAUGAACGCUGGCGGCGUGCCUAAUACAUGCAAGUCGAGCGAACAGAUGAGGAGCUUGCUCCACUGACGUUAGCGGCGGACGGGGGAGUAACACGUGGAUAACCUACCUAUAAGACUGGGAUAACUUCGGGAAACCGGAGCUAAUACCGGAUAAUAUAUUGAACCGCAUGGUUCAAUAGUGAAAGACGGUUUUGCUGUCACUUAUCGAUGUAUCCGCGCCGCAUUAGCUAGUUGGUAAGGUAACGGCUUACCAAGGCAACGAUGCGUAGCCGACCUGAGAGGGUGAUCGGCCACACUGGAACUGAGACACGGUCCAGACUCCUACGGGAGGCAGCAGUAGGGAAUCUUCCGCGAUGGGCGAAAGCCUGACGGAGCAACGCCGCGUGAGUGAUGAAGGUCUUCGGAUCGUAAAACUCUGUUAUUAGGGAAGAACAAAUGUGUAAGUAACUAUGCACGUCUUGACGGUACCUAAUCAGAAAGCCACGGCUAACUACGUG